rnacentral:misc_RNA from 1 species
ACACCUCAACUCUCAUGGUUCGCCGUGAAGAGAUUGGACUUUGGAGGUUUUGCUGGCCCCCUACGGUCGGCUCCUCUCAAAUGAAUCAGCUUGCCAGUUUUUGGUGGCGUCAUGGGUGUGAUAACUAUCUACGCUUGUGGUUGACCACCUGGUAACCUUUGGCAACGGAGGUUUGCUGGAGCUUAUAAAUGUCUCUCCUCAGCGAAGACAUCUUUUUGAAC